rnacentral:rRNA from 1 species
UAGUUGGUAGGGUAAAAGCCUACCAGGCAUCGAUCAGUAGCUGGUCUGAGAGGACGACCAGCCACACUGGAACUGAGACACGGUCCAGACUCCUACGGGAGGCAGCAGUGGGGAAUUUUGGACAAUGGGCGCAAGCCUGAUCCAGCAAUGCCGCGUGAGUGAAGAAGGCCUUUCGGGUUGUAAAGCUCUUUUGUCAGGGAAGAAACGGUGAGAGCUAAUAUCUCUUGCUAAUGACGGUACCUGAAGAAUAAGCACCGGCUAACUACGUGCCAGCAGCCGCGGUAAUACGUAGGGUGCAAGCGUUAAUCGGAAUUACUGGGCGUAAAGCGUGCGCAGGCGGUUUUGUAAGUCUGAUGUGAAAUCCCCGGGCUCAACCUGGGAAUUGCAUUGGAGACUGCAAGGCUAGAAUCUGGCAGAGGGGGGUAGAAUUCCACGUGUAGCAGUGAAAUGCGUAGAUAUGUGGAGGAACACCGAUGGCGAAGGCAGCCCCCUGGGUCAAGAUUGACGCUCAUGCACGAAAGCGUGGGGAGCAAACAGGAUUAGAUACCCUGGUAGUCCACGCCCUAAACGAUGUCUACUAGUUGUCGGGUCUUAAUUGACUUGGUAACGCAGCUAACGCGUGAAGUAGACCGCCUGGGGAGUACGGUCGCAAGAUUAAAACUCAAAGGAAUUGACGGGGACCCGCACAAGCGGUGGAUGAUGUGGAUUAAUUCGAUGCAACGCGAAAAACCUUACCUACCCUUGACAUGGCUGGAAUCCUUGAGAGAUCAGGGAGUGCUCGAAAGAGAACCAGUACACAGGUGCUGCAUGGCUGUCGUCAGC